UAAAGAUGAGUGAAAUGAGUGAAAUUGGUGUCCCCAGUAUUAUUUUCUAGAAGAACAGCAAGGCCUGUUUCAGCUCCCAGUGACAUUAGCACAAAGACGCUCACCGAUUCAUUGUGUGCUGGAGCAAGUGCUAUAUGAGUAACCGUGCAGAACUUUGCAAGAGAGGUGAGACAUCUCAGUGGACGGAUCGCUGUGACAAUGAGGGUGCUACAGACAGACACUGUGACUCUGCUUCUCUCAGCUACUGUCAAAGCCUAUGCUGUGUGCAAAUCUGAAUGCACAACAGGAAUCCACGGGAACCCUAGGUGGACAGAAAGAUUCUGACAGAAGGCUCAAGUUUCACUUCCUUUUGAGAAUUGUCCUUUUUCUCCAAAAGCUGGUGCGCUUCUAUGGAGAGGCCAUGGAUUCUUCCUGAAGAUGUAGUGUUUGCUGGAGUGUUGAACAGUUACUGAAGAAUUUCUACUUUAAUGAGGGGAACAAGCCUAUGAAGAUA